UCCUACGGGAGGCAGCAGUGGGGAAUCUUGCACAAUGGAGGAAACUCUGAUGCAGCGAUGCCGCGUGAGUGAAGAAGGCCUUUGGGUUGUAAAGCUCUUUCGUCGGGGAAGAAAAUGACUGUACCCGAAUAAGAAGGUCCGGCUAACUUCGUGCCAGCAGCCGCGGUAAUACGAAGGGACCUAGCGUAGUUCGGAAUUACUGGGCUUAAAGAGUUCGUAGGUGGUUGAAAAAGUUGGUGGUGAAAUCCCAGAGCUUAACUCUGGAACUGCCAUCAAAACUUUUCAGCUAGAGUUUGAUAGAGGAAAGCAGAAUUUCUAGUGUAGAGGUGAAAUUCGUAGAUAUUAGAAAGAAUACCAAUUGCGAAGGCAGCUUUCUGGAUCAUUACUGACACUGAGGAACGAAAGCAUGGGUAGCGAAGAGGAUUAGAUACCCUCGUAGUCCAUGCCGUAAACGAUGUGUGUUAGACGUUGGAAAUUUAUUUUCAGUGUCGCAGCGAAAGCAAUAAACGCACCGCCUGGGGAGUACGACCGCAAGGUUAAAACUCAAAUGAAUUGACGG
rnacentral:rRNA from 1 species